rnacentral:rRNA from 1 species
CCCUAUGGGGUGCAGCAGGUUGAGAUAACCCAGCACCGGCUGAAGGGGCGUCCUUAAUUCGUGGGCAACCGCACGCAUCAUCUCGCGCCUGCGUUCCUUGGUCUGCUCGACCCGUUCGCGGUACUCUUCCCACUCGGUAUUGUCGACAAGAUUUAUCAGUCCCGCCGGCUGGUUGUCCCGCAUAAUCGGGGUGAAGUAGAGGACCGCCCUGCGUGUAUCGCCUUUUUUUGUGACGAACCGGAACUCGGCCCGGCCCGGGACCGGCGCCGGAUCGACCCAGCGCCUGCUGAACGCUGCAAACCGUUCCGUGUCAUCGGCAAGAACAAAGUCAGCUAGGUGCAUGCCAAUACACUCAUCCGGUUCGUAACCGGAGAACCGCAGGAAGGCCGGGUUGGCAAAAAGGAUCGCGGUAUGUCGGGCAAUGACAAUACCGGCGGGGGAGC